AACGAACGCUGGCGGCAGGCCUAACACAUGCAAGUCGAACGCUCGUAGCAAUACGGGAGUGGCAGACGGGUGAGUAACACGUGGGAACCUUCCCUAUGGUUCGGAAUAGCUCAGGGAAACUUGGGGUAAUACCGGAUAAGCCCUUCGGGGAAAGGAUUUAUCGCCAUUGGAUGGGCCCGCGUCGGAUUAGCUAGUUGGUGAGGUAACGGCUCACCAAGGCAACGAUCCGUAGCUGGUCUGAGAGGAUGAUCAGCCACACUGGGACUGAGACACGGCCCAGACUCCUACGGGAGGCAGCAGUGGGGAAUAUUGGACAAUGGGCGCAAGCCUGAUCCAGCCAUGCCGCGUGAGUGACGAAGGUCUUCGAUUGUAAACUCUUUUGGCGGGACGAUAAUGACGGUACCCGCAGAAUAAGCCCCGGCUAACUUCGUGCC
rnacentral:rRNA from 1 species